AUUUGCAACUAUAUAUCGCGAUCGUCGAAACGAAAUGUAAUUUUUGAGGGAUGAAAAAACUCGGUUUAUUCGAUUCAUUUUUCUCGUCUUCGUUUCGAAUUGGAGAGGAUCGUGAGAUGUAUCUGUUUUAAUAUAAUGACAGCUCGACGCGACACCAAUUAGAGCUCGAUCGUUACUACUUUUUGAAUCCGAUAUCCGAUUUCUUCAAUUAUUGAGGGGAAAUCUAUUUACAUCCUCGAAGCUUACAAGUUUCUUCUCCAACCGAUAACUCGCGUAAUGCUUUGUAAGUAUGAAAAAUGGCUGGUAAGCUUCUUACGAAGCGUAUUAUAUUUAUUGUAACGCAAUACUCCACUCGAUCCCAUUUACUAAUCCAAGAAGAAAAAAAAACUCGCAAUCUCUUCUUAAUUUUAAGCUUACACGUUCUUCUAACACUGCAUUAUUAUAUAUAUCAUCAAACAGCGAUCAACACCUUCUUUAGAACGAAUAAAAAUCUACAAUCUAUUUUACCAAAUUUCGUCGUAAAUCUCUUAAGGAGAUUUAUUCAUAUAAAAUUCUAAUUAAUCGGAUCAUAAACUCGGCCAUCCAUGAACACAACCUGUGUGUUUCAACAUCAUUUCUUACAACAUUUACCUCACAAUGAGAAUUCACUUCCAUUCACUGUGACACGAAUAAAAAAGAAUCUAAAUUUUCCAACUCUCAUUCUUCUAUUCACUAUAAAAUUUUUCCAUUCUAAUUAACAUAAAAAUAUUUAUUUACCUCAUGACAAUUCACUUUCAUCACUGCGAGUAAAAAAAAAAAAAUCUAAAUUUCCCAAUAAGUCUCGAGGACUUUUAUUAUUCGCGUAAAAAAAAAAAAAAAAAAUGUUCCAUUCUAAUUAAUAUAGGAUAUAAAACUAGCGAUCCGUGAAGCCUAGCAAAAGCCGUGCGGUGGUAUAUCGGCCCACCACCGGUUGGGAUAUUUACGAUGACAGCGAUGCUGCGAACGCGAGGCUACGCCUCGUCGGCCUCGUCGAGUUGGACAAUGGAAAAUAACGUGUAAUGCAAUCGACGGCUUCGUUUCUAUCGCCCACUGACCGGGAAUAAUGGCCGCUACACGGUGGUACACGCGAGGCAUCGAACAAUAGAGGGCCAGCGCGAGGGCCAGCGCGCGUGACGCAAGGAGCUUCGCUUCUCCCGUCGUCGGCCCGCGGAAUGCGCUCCCCGAUCACAAUGAGCCAUUAGUCACCGAGCCGCUGCUGGACGAAACCAACACCCAUGCGUGGUGACGUAACUCGGUGAACUUGGCCAAUCCGUGACGGUUGCUGGGCGUACGGAAGGUUGCUCGCUUGGCGUAGGGCGUGGAGAGGGGAUCAGGCUAACCGUGUAUCGGUUAGAAGCGAGAAUGCCGCAAGGUUUUGGCGCAGCGAAGAUUCUUCGCUCUCUAUAUUGCGUAUAUGGGAUGAUACGUGUGGCUUCGAAUUUUUUGGAUGUAUACGAUUCAAUUUGUUCAAUCAGACCUUGUCAAUAGAGCGUGGGUGACGACUACUUAGGCGGGUCAGGUCAUAUUCGGACGCAGCAAUGAGAGGUAAUUAAGUUUGAUUUAAGAAAGGAAAUCUUGAAAAGGAAGAAAAGUAUCCACACCGAGGCUUGUCGAGCAGCCUGAGCAUCAUAGAAUUGUCCGUUUGCCAAGAAUAUGUUACGACACGUCCAUACAGAGUCUGAGCUCGUAAACAGAGCUUCUUACCGAACCACCUUUCGUUGUUUACUGCUGAGUAAACUGGCCACAAUCAGUCACUCGAUCUUAGAAUUUCAUUGCAUCGAAAGAAGGGAAAGAAAGAAAAAGAUGGAAAGGUAUCCGGAUAUUUUUGAGCAUAGUAUACCAUCAGGAUUCAUCGAUUGCAUCACGCAAUAACACAGAGCGAUGAUUCACCGCUCUUACGAUCUCUUUUCUCGCCGUUGCAUCCAAUUUACAACGGAUUAUACGAAAAAAAAAAAGACCAUCGUGCUCGUGUGUGACGACACGGAUCUAAUAAAUUUCCAGUUGCGCGAGCUUCGCGGUUAUUUUAAUUUGCGAUACUUCCUAUCCGUAACAACACGCUCAAAGUAUCAAAUUUCCUGUACUCGAGCGCAGGACUUUUAAACUCGAUUCUCUUGAAAAUGAAGCCUCGAAGCGAAAAAACCGGCACGAUCUUCCAAAAAUAAUCCCCGUACAUAAAAGUGAGAAAUUACGAAAUUCGAAGAGAAAGAAAGAAAUACCAAAAAACUUAUUCCUCUCUCCACCUCACAAUCACCCCUAACCAUCCCAACUUUCCAUCCACAACGAGGCUUAUAACCCUACACGUACAAUCGAGGAUGGAAAUAGCUCGCAAAGCAUCGAGUCGAGAGAUCGACUUGCAAAUAGCGUUUAGGUUAGGCAGGUAACGAUGAAUUUUAACGGGUUAACGGGAAGUUUUCCUCCUUAAGGGGGCAGAACGCGGGCGACAUUGUUCCGUUUUUCGAGCCGCGCUCUGCCAGGUCCUCUCUCCCUCGAUUUAAUUGAUACCCCGAUCACGUGCUCGAGCGUUCUGCUUUCUCCUCCCUCCCACCGUUAUCGUCCCGUAUGCAGGUUAAAAAGUCGGAUACAACUUGUCACGCUCGAUGGACAAUCUCUCCGCAAAACUGGAAACAUACAGUUGGAAAUGGAACGUGGAUGAAUCGUGCCAGCUCGCUUUUGCUUUUGGCCACCAUUUCGUCUACGCGCGGCAGGAAUAUCACGAGAGUGGGUUUCAAGUUUUUGAAGAAUUGUUUUAGGAUUUCUUGCGAGUUGCGCGUAAGGAUAAAUAAACGGGAGAGAAAUUAAACGCGGUAAAUUCGUAAUAUUCGAGGAAGCACUCUCUCUCGAGUGCGAGGAAAGCGAGGGAAAUUAACAUGGUUUCGAACACUGUGUUUAUUAACAGCGUUGUCUUCGAACGGAUUCGAAAGUAAAAUUCUCGAGAGCAGUAUUUUUUUCGAUAACGAUCUCUCCUCGUCGAGAGUGAAAGUGGUUGCCGGUACAAAUUACAAUUACCGCUUCUAAUGUGGCGUGAAAAUUUUGUUCGUCGUUUAAUCUCCGGUGUGAUUGCAAAAGUACAACGAUACGAUUAUUAUUGAUAUUGAAAUUUCGUAUCGAUACGAAUGGAAUGGAAAAAGAAGAAAAUCGGAAGGAGAGAAGGAAUAAAAGUCAUAAAUAAAGCGAGGAGAAUCGAUAAUCCGGGGACGAUAACUCUCUCGACAGCCCGGCUCUCGACAGAUUGCAGACUUUCAGAGUGUUUCGAGUGUUCCUCUUUCUCGAACGACCCUGAGGACCGCUAUCCCAAACGGAAACGAGUUACGCAUCCUUCUUCUUUUCUCGAGUUAACGAGACGAGGCCGUAUGCGCGUUCGAAUCUGGAGGAAACGCGCAUGCAAACUCGUUUUUAGAGGCCAACGACCACUCGCGAUCAGCUGGGACUGGGUCACAUGUAAAUUGGAAUAGGCAUGUAUCUCCAUUCCAUCCGCCGACUCGUCCUACGAAUCCUACGUAUUUGCUCGAGCUCGAACGAGCCAUUCUUUUCAACGAAUAUUUUUCAACCCACUCGGACGCUAGUUAACGUUAUACGUGCUCAUUCCUCGAAUCAACAUAAACGAAUAUGUUUCUCCAUAAUAGAGACUAGUAAAAAAAUAAACCCGGUUACGACGAAA